UCUCUCUCUCUCUCUCUCUCUCUCUCUCUCUCUCUCUCUCGCACACAUUCAUACUCACUCGCACGCACACGCAUGCACACACACGCAGGACCCACUGACCUACACAGCAGUGUGCUCAUUAACAGUGUGUGUGUGUGUGUGUGUGUGUGACUGUGAGCAUGGGCUCUCUCUCGUGGGGUAUCCAGUCAUUUAGCAGAUGCUCGUUCCAAACGAGGCUCACAGUGAAUCCAGAACGUUACAGGGCUGUGCUACUGUGUGUGCAGAUCAUUAACUCAUCCCCUAAUCAUUAACCCGAUCGGAUUCACGCUCCACCACACAUACACACACUGGGCCCUGGGCAAACAAACAACUGGAUCAUUUGUUCGAUAAUGAUAAAACAUAUUAUAAUUAUGAGUAAUGACUCAUUAAAAUCUCAGUGUGUAAUAAUGAGCCCCUCCCUGUGGAUUGGCAGGAGUCUUUCAGAAUUCAAAAAACGAGUUCUGUCCACUCUGAUUGGCUGAGCAGCCGCGUGACACGACCUCUAGCGUUGCUCGGGUGGGAGGGGCGUGGGCAGGUGGGCGGGGCUCCAGGAGUGACAGGAAGAUUCCCGCAAACGAUGAGACUGGCUUUUAAUGGCAGCAUAUAUCGGUUACAGGAGGGGAUUUUAUUGAUAACAAUGAGGUCAAUAUUGAUCGGUAUUCACCGCUGACAUCCUUGCUGUUAAAAGCCACAGGCUGGUUGAAAUGUUACACAUCGCGACUGUAAAUAUAAGUCUUUAAGUGAUUACCUGAGGGUCUAUAGAGACCUGAUAGUGAGACUUUUCCUUCUUUACUCUUGCCCUGUUUGCUCAAGGAGUCAGUUUUUCCUGUCUGUGUUGAUUUCUGUGUGUCUGAUUGUGUGUCUGUUUCUGUGUCUUGUCGAGUUGUGUGUCUACUUUCUUGGGUGUGUGUGUGUGUGUGUGUGUGUGGGCCCGUGUGUGUUUGUGUGUGUUGGGGUGUGACGUCAUGUGUGUCUCUGUAUUUUUCCAGUCGUGUUUGUGUGUGACAGUAGUCCGAUCAGGGCCGCUUGUCAGUCUUUUUUUUGUCUGUUCUGAUGCUCUGUCUGAACACGUCAGGCCAUGCGUGUGUGUUCAGUGUAUGUUUACCUGGGGGCGUGUGCGGCAACAUCCGUCCAACUGGCCCCCCCUCCCUGAGGGACCGUGUGUGUCAUCAUGGACGCCCGUCCCAGGGUCGAGUCAAACCACAGAAUGGGUGUCUGAUCAGCAGAAUCUGAAUAUUGGCUGAACAAUCGUACACAGGUCACAAAGUCAUGACUAAUACGGUUUAGUCCUU
ensembl:lncRNA